UGAAAAGCAUGCCAGGAUCACUGCACGGU
rnacentral:piRNA from 1 species